rnacentral:lncRNA from 1 species
UUUUUUCAGGCAGUUGGGAUAUGCAUGACUGAUCCAAAUGGCUGACAAAGGGACCUGAGCCAUUUCCAGUGUGGAUACAGCUUUAUGGCCAGAGAAGAAUAACAAGCAAACAAGUAAGAAGCAAUUGCAGCCAAAAUGAAAAAUGAAGAGAUCCUUUCUCCAGCCAAUGCCAACUGUAAUAUUAGAAGACAGAUAUUAAAGGGUAGUCACCUCCACAGAAGCUCAAAGCAACCAUUCCAUUCAUUCCAACUUUUACUCUUCAAAAGAGACUUUAUCUUGAAGUUCUGGGGACAUCUUAAUCUACUUCCUGCACCAGCAACAUCCAUUUGAAGAUCCAAGGCACCAUGCUGUCUGAAUGGCCAUCCCCUGGAUUGUGUGCUGGGCAGCACUUGCCUAUUAUUGAGGAAAGCAAUUAUAAACCAACUGGGUGUGGAAAUUCACUCCCACCAUCCUGGGAAGCUCUGAAACUGCACACGGAAUUCCAUGACCAAAAAAAAGAGGAAGUCCUUUUACUGGUUGAUUUCUGGUUAUAAAAAGUAAUAUAUGAUCUUCAAACACAAUUCUAACAAUGCAUGGAAAUGUAAAUUAAAAAAUUAAAAUUAUCCAAAACCUCACCUCUUUGGUAAUUAUUAUAAACACUCUUUCAUAUAUAUGUAUUCAUAUACGCAUAUGAAAUUUUACCCAAAAUGAUGUGCGUGCUGCCUUGACAUCCAUUAUUAUUACAUACCAAAAUUUAUGUCCCUCUAGCUAAGCCCCUCAGCACCCCAUGUCAAUAAAUGUAGAUCGACAUCAUUAUUCUUAAUGACUAUGUAGUAUUCCACUGAGUGCAUAUAUCAUAAAGCAUUUAAGCAAUUCUUUAUCAGUGGAUAAUAGAUACUUAUGCUGCUUCAAUUUUUUGCUACCAUAAACAAUACCAUGGUGGAACUCCUGUACAUAAUGUAUCUGUAUGUGUAAUGACAUAUUUGCCACCUUAUUGACUAUUCUGUUUCCCAUCCAUUGGGCUUGUGUACAGCACUGAUCACAUCACUCAAUGGUGUGCAAUCUUAGAAAGCUUACUUGAGCACUCCAGGUCUCAGUUUCUUCCAUGGGGUCAUUUCUCGUGAUCUUGAGGGUCCCCUCUAGUAUUAACAUUAUAUGGUCACUUUCCCAAAUCUAAAACCUUACGCGAAGCAUGUGUAAAUGGAUGCCAACCAGCUCUCUCUGGCCUCUUUCCUUCUCUUUUUAUGUCAUGAGCAAUGAUUGACAGUUCAUAUUGCUGUCCUUCUGAUCUUUCAUCUGAGAACAUGAAGCCAAAGGAGUCUGCCUAACCUUAAAGACGUAGGGCUGAGUGGUUGCCAGGAAUCUGAUAUUUUAAAGAUCCCUUAGUUCUGGCUAAAUCUCCACAGACUACUCCAUUAGCAUUUUCAGUUCCGGCACAUCCAUUUCCCAAAAUUUCAGACUCCUGGCAUCGUUUGAACCUCACUUUAUGCCUCAACUCCCACAGCUCAGCAUGUGACCCUAGU